GCAUCCGUUUUAGCUUAGAAAAGUGAAACUUGGAGUUUCGGGGGGUCUUGGAACCAGAACUCGUUGUCACCUGUCCGGAUGCAUGCGUUCUGAAAAACAAAAGACUCAAAUAUCUUAAAGGUUUACUAAAUGACUGAUCUGCAAUCAGCAUGCCUCCCCUUCCCAACAAGAUCCAUUAUGGUCUACUCAGACCAGUGCCUCUUUAAAUAGGAGAGAAACAGAUACCUGGAAAGAGAUGAGGGAGUGUUCCCUUUGGAUCCCAGCCUACUGCAGCUUACAGGUGUCAUUUUUUUUGCAGACUGAGUUUUUACAUCUGGUGUCCUGAGGCUAGAUUUAACAGUUGGAGUGCCAGAAUUUUGUGUCUUGGUAGCCAGAAAAUA